UGGGGAACCUGCCCCAUAGUCUGGGAUACCACUUGGAAACAGGUGCUAAUACCGGAUAAGAAAGCGGAUCGCAUGAUCAGCUUUUAAAAGGCGGCGUAAGCUGUCGCUAUGGGAUGGCCCCGCGGUGCAUUAGCUAGUUGGUAAGGUAAAGGCUUACCAAGGCGAUGAUGCAUAGCCGAGUUGAGAGACUGAUCGGCCACAUUGGGACUGAGACACGGCCCAAACUCCUACGGGAGGCAGCAGU
rnacentral:rRNA from 1 species